CUAUAAACAAUUACAUUACACACACCCUGCACCUAUAAUGGGUACAGGGUGACUAAAACAUAGGAUAAAUAAAGCAGCCCACAUAAAUAGUCUGUCUGAAGGUAGACUAGGGGCUUUAAAGCCAGAUAGAUGAAAGAGUCAUAGUCACAGGGGAGGAGGCUGGCAAGUAGGUCUCUCCAGGACCAAGUGGCGAAGGGCACUUCGUCACA
rnacentral:lncRNA from 1 species